UACGUGGGGGGCAAGCGUUGUCCGGAUUUAUUGGGCGUAAAGAGCGUGUAGGCGGCUAGGUAGGUCCGUUGUGAAAACUCGAGGCUCAACCUCGAGACGUCGAUGGAAACCAUCUAGCUAGAGUCCGGAAGAGGAGAGUGGAAUUCCUGGUGUAGCGGUGAAAUGCGCAGAUAUCAGGAAGAACACCAAUGGCGAAAGCAGCUUUCUGGGACGGUACUGACGCUGAGACGCGAAAGCGUGGGGAGCGUACAGG
rnacentral:rRNA from 1 species